CAGUAGCCGCGGGAAUACAGAGGGUGCAAGCGUUAAUCGGAAUUACUGGGCGUAAAGCGCGCGUAGGUGGUUCGCCAAGUUGGAUGUGAAAUCCCCGGGCUCAACCUGGGAACUGCAUCCAAAACUGGCGAGCUAGAGUAUGGUAGAGGGUGGUGGAAUUUCCUGUGUAGCGGUGAAAUGCGUAGAUAUAGGAAGGAACAUCAGUGGCGAAGGCGACCACCUGGACUGAUACUGACACUGAGGUGCGAAAGCGUGGGGAGCAAACAGGAUUAGAGACCCCAGUAGUCCCUGUCUCUUAUAC
rnacentral:rRNA from 1 species